rnacentral:misc_RNA from 1 species
CGAGGAUGUCGCUUCCAGCUGCAAUGCUGUUCGCUUCUAUCAAUUAUAUGUAUACAAAAGAAGGGAUGUUGCAGUGAAGUUAGUACAAAAGGCAGAAAACUGUGGAUUCAAGGCUCUAGUUUUGACAGUUGAUACUCCCAGGCUUGGUCGAAGGGAAGCAGAUAUAAAAAAUAAGAUGAUUGCACCAAAGUUAUCAAAUUUGGAAGGACUACUAUCUGUGGAAUUUGAUUCCAAAGGUGCUUCUAAUCUUGAAGCAUUUGCAUCAG